rnacentral:snRNA from 1 species
GUGCUCACUUCUACAGCCCAUACACUAAAAAUGGAAUUCAGAGAAGAUUAGCAUGGCCCCUGCACAAAUUUGUGAAGCAUUCCACGUUUUU